ACAGCAAAAGCACGUGGGAAUCGGUGUAUUGUUUACGAAAACGGUUCGUUACCGAGAAUGCGGGGAACACACAAAAGCAGUUUCGGUACCGUUCUUUCCCAGAAAUCCAGCAUAUGAAGAAAGCUGCCCAAUCGCAACAUGUGCAUCUUUUUCAAGUGCAAAUGCAGCAACAAAUCGAGCAUAAAUCGGAUGUUUCUCCGGGAAAUGAAUGGUGUUAAAUCGCACCGUGCGUGAGUGUGUAUGUGUGUGUGUGUGUGUGUGAAGGGAAGUGAAGGGCUGGCUGCACAUCGCUAGCGCAGCAUGUGUGCGUUGAAUGGCGUGGUUAGGUGUUUGGUAUUAGAAGUAUCUUCCCGGACGGCGUCAUCGGGAAGCUGUCCACGAACCGCACCCCGCCCCGCAGCCGCUUGAAGUCCGCCACCUGUCCCUCGACAUGCCGCACAAUGUCCUCCUCCCGCAGCGGCGUCACACCACCACCACCGCCCACCUUCCGCUCGACCACCGCCAUCGGCAGAUCGCUCGAACCGUCCGGCGCCGGCACUCCGAUCACGCACACCUGCUUCACCCCGUCCAUGCGCUGUAUGAUGCACUCCAGGUCGGACGGCGACACCUGGUAGUUGUUGUACUUGAUGAUGUCCUUGAUGCGAUCGACCACGUACAGGCUGCCGUCCGCAUCGAUGUACCCGAUGUCGCCGCUCCGGAAGAACCCGUCCUCGGUCAGUGCGUUCGCGGUCGCUUCCGGAUUGUGCAGGUAACCCUGUAAAAGAACGCCAUUGUUAUUCCACAAUUGCCUACUUUGAUGUCCAUCUUUUUGAGGGCCUACCAGAAACAUGUACCGAUGGCGUAGUACAAGCUCACCGGCAACUCCUACCCCGACCGGUUGGCCAUCCUCAUCCAACACCCGGCACUGGACGUUCGUAGUGAGCGGACCGACCGAGCCCGGCUGCACCGUGACGUCAUUGCGCGUGAUAAACCCAAUCUCGGAGCUGCCGUAGAUGGAGCGCGUGUGCCCCUGGGGAAGCAGCUUCUGCAGGCGCAGUGUCAUUUCCGUCGGUACGCGGGAACCACCGAGCUGCCACUGCCGAACGCUGCUCAGAUCGGCCCGGGCAGUGCGAGGGUGGGCCAGCAGGGUCGACACGUACGAGGGAGGGGUGAACAGAUUUUCGAUGCGAUACGUUUCAAUCAGAUCGAGCAGCAGGUCCGGCUGGUAGGGUUUGCUGGUGAGAACGCGCGGCCGGCUGUGCAGCAGCGAGGUCAUCACGGCAAAGAUGCCGGUCGCCCAGAACAGCGAGCUAAAGUUGAAGAUGGGACCGUCGGAAGCGUCGCUACAGUAUGGAAAGGACCGCGGUCGAUUAGAAUCUUAUUAGAUUGUUAAAGGGGGCAAAGACUUACGUGGAAAAGACCAUUCCAUCGACAAAGUGCGCGUGCGACAGACAGACACCCUUGGGCAGCCCGGUCGUGCCGGAUGAGCACAGCACCAUCGCCAGCAGCUUGGACGCGUCGCCCAAAUACUCCGCCCGAAAGCACUCCUCCCCGUCGAUCGGUUCCAGCAGCUCGUCCACCGAACGAUAAACCCCUGCCGCUGCCGGUCCCAUCGCAAACAGUUGCGCACCGUGCGUAAUCGCUUCGUGGACCGCUUCUCGCACCACGGCCGCAUUGGCCGGAUCGCAAAACACCAGCCCCGAUUGCGUUUGCUUCAUCAUGUGCACAAAGUCGGCCUUCUCGAAGACGGGCGCAAGGGGAUUGACGGCUAGCCCGAGCACCCAGCAGCCGAUCAGCACCGGCACGACCUGCUCGCCGUUGCCGCAGGCAAGGCUGACAAAGUCACCGCGCCGGUAACCAAGGCGACGCAGGUGCAGUGCGACCCGGAUGAUGCGCCGCCUCAUCUCGCCGCACGUCGUUUGCCGGCCCGUGUCGGCAUUGAUCUGUAUGACGCGGUCGGGCGAGCGGGCGAGCACAUCGAGCACGAUGCGGCCAAUACCGGCGGCCGGAUUGAGUACGGACGGGAGAGGAACGCACACUGGUUUGGAUGGACACACACUUUAACGACCGGACACAGCGACGGUCACGGAGCAACUGAUCGCAACGGCGUACCGCUUAUUCGCUUAUCAGCUGCGAGAU